GGGACCCCCAGGGGCUCAGCCAGGGAAGAUGGAGAGGUAGGUCCAGGCCGCAGCUCCUGUCCUGGAACCGCCACGUCUCCAGGCUUCUCCUCACGCGGAAUUCUUCGGUGGCUUUAUUGUUCCAGCCAGUUUUAGCUGGAGGUGUCUAGACCCAGGUGGCCUGCCCGCUGUCCCUGGGCGUGUGGAGCACACACCAGCCAACUGUGGGUUCUGCUCCAGGAGGCGCCAGGGCGGACCCUCCUAUCUCUGGACCCGCCCUUAAGCCCCCAGAUGAACCCUCUUCACCGGGGUUGAUUCUCUCUUGAUCUUUCAUGCCUCCUAGUAAAGCCAUCUCGAAACAUAUUCCUGAGUUUCUAGCAUUUUUCAACCAUUCACGGAAACAGAGAGAUGAAGCGUGGGCCUGUGUGCGCCCCCAGACUCGGCACUUGCGCCCUCCCCCCGUGCUCACUGCAUCGGCAUCAGAUUUGUUCAAGUCAGGACCCUGGUUCUCCGGAGAAACGGAACCAACAGGACAUCUACCGACGGUGUGAGGUCGGCAUUGCCGGAUCGGCUCGCCAGGGUGGAGGCCUGAGGCCCGGGGCCUCCGUCUGCGAGCUGGAGGCAGGGGCGCUGGAGGCCAGGGGAGCCCGUGCGGUCAGUCAGCCCGAGUCCAAGGGCCCGAGACCUGAGCUCCACGGUCAGAGGAGCAGGACGACAGGGACGUCCCAGCUCAGCAAGGGAGACACAGUUUGCCCCCCCUUUUCACUCCAUCCAGGCCCUCGAUGGGUUGGGUGAAGCCCCCCCCACCUCGGGGACGGUGAUCUUACUCCGUCCACCAGUUCAGAGGCUGAUGUGUUCUGUGCACACCACACACACACCCGGAAGUGGCUGUUGCACCAGCUAUCGGGGUGCCCUCAGCCCCGUCAGGGUGACACGGAAAAUCAGCCCCUUCAUUGGACACCUGGACACUUGGAAGGUCCCCCCCUCCUCUCUGUCCUCUCCCCUCCACUCCCCUCCUCCCUCUCUGCCCUCCCCACUCCUGCCUCCACUGAUUAACCCCUCGAUUACAUUCCUUACCCAGAAUGACCCAGGAGAGGUUCAUGACUCUUUAAUAAAGAGAAAAAAGAAAAGUUUGUUAAAAAAAAC
rnacentral:lncRNA from 1 species